rnacentral:rRNA from 1 species
CACGCCCUAAACGAUGGAUGCUAAGUGUUGGACUUCGGUUCAGUGCUUCAAGCUAACGCAUUAAGCAUCCCACCUGAGAAGUACGGUCGCAAGAUUAAAACUCAAAUGAAUAGACGGGGACCCGCACAAGCAGUGGAUCAUGUGGUUUAAUUCGACAAUAAACGAGGAACCUCACCUAGGCUUGACAUUGAUAGAAUCUUUGAGAAAUCAGAGAGUGCCCGCAAGGGAACUUGAAAACAGGUGC